rnacentral:tRNA from 1 species
GAGGCAUAGCUCAGCUGGUUAGAGCGCAUGCUUCACACGCAUGAGGUCACAGGUUCGAGUCCUGUUGUCUCC